GUAAGUUAAUAUUAUUUAUUUUUAUAAUAUAUAAAUAUGUAGGGGUAAAAUGCAAGUAAACCGGUAAGUGUAACCGGCUACUGUAGUAUUGAUUUGAAAUGAUGAUUUGACAACUUUUUUCCCAACAGUGAUAAUAACUCUCAAUUCACUUCUUCAUCUCCUCCAUUGUUGCAGAAGGUUUUCUCUCUUCUAAACUCAAUCCCUCUUUCUAUGUUCAUAUGCUCCUUGUAAAUGGUAAAAUCUCUCUCUAUCUCUCUCUCUCUUUAUCCAUCUAUAUCUCUCUCCUUAUGAUUAUUUCCUUUUCCGAAUUUGGAUGGUACAAUAACCAAGCUUCAGAAUUUGGAUGCUUAUCCCCAAAUCACUGAAGAUUUCUACCGUCGUACCCUCUCCGGUGGCGUUAUCACCAUCGCCUUCUCCAUUGUCAUGAUCUUGCUCUUCUCUAUGAGCUCAGUGCAUAUUAUUUUCUUUCUUUUUUAAUAUUUGGUGUUGGGGAUCCUGUACUUUUCGGGGUUAAUUUCUGUUUGGGAUUUGUUAAAGAGGUCGUUGAGAAUUCAUAUGUUGCUAUAGUUUAGUUUUCUUUGGCAGUCAAUUUUCGUUCGGAGCUACUUUCAUUAGCAAGCAAGGAUUAUAAUUGCAACCCUUAUCAAUACAUAAUUUUUACUAUUUUAGUUAGGGUUAUAAUUGUUUAGAAAUCAUGAUGUAGUUACAUCUUUACCACUCAUCCUUAUACCUUGAUUAUUAUGAUAUUAUAGCUAUGUCCCAAAUCCCGUUUUGGUUGAUUCUUGUAUUGUUUCUUUUCUGAUGAGUUGCGUUGUUGGGUUUAAUAUUGAGAAACAUGAUAAUUGAUAUCCAAAUCGGCAUAUGAAGUUCACAAUUUAUUCUUUGAUCACCAUUUUCUCCAAAUAAAUCUUCGUGGAGCUUAACCUCCUUAACUAUUGUGAUAGAAUGCCACAAAAAAGCCAAAAGAUUUUGUUCAUGCGCUUUUAGAAAUUGCUGCUCAUGAGGUUGAGGAAAUAGGUAUGGCUACAAUUCUGAAAGUCAGAAUUCCGUGAUCCGUAAGGGGAAAGACUGGGUAAGCUGUGCAAUCUCACACUACCUGGAGAAGUCAAGUGUGAUGAUUUUAAGACUGUGUAGGUUUUUUCAUGGUGGUGUUUCUCCUCAUCUUCUUUUGGCUUACAUGGGCCAAGCAACAUAUUUCAUGAGAAAGGAGUCUUUCAAAAACUAUUUACCCAUUUCCAAAGUUCAACCUAUCUGAUGUAUAGUUGACUAACUAUUAUUUUGGUUAUCUAGCGCUCCAGCAUUGUCAGCAAGAGGGGAAACUAAGGCUUCUAUAUCAACAUAUUCAUACGAUAUUUCAUCAAGAAGUUCCUGGAAAGCUUAUACAAACGGAGAACUUCCUGAUAAGAUUGAUAUGGAUUUCUCUCAAGUGUAGUUUGGGGGUUGCAAGAUUGAUUGAUAUGUUUCAUUCAAGUGUAUAAUUUGUGAUCUUUUUACUAGCUUCAACUUCCACUAAGAUAACUUUUUUCAAUUUCUUAAUUUCAAUUCUGCCUAAUUCUCCAAUUUACUUCCCCGCAAAAAAAAAAAAAAAACUCCAAUUUACUAGUUUUAUGAUAGCUGAGGUUUGUUAAUGAAAUUAACUUUGAAAUAUUUGUAGAUAUACAUGUGUAUUCUCAUGUAUGAAUAUGUACAAGUUUUCUUAUAAGUCUCAUAGGUUUCAAGCUAUCUUUAUUUGACUAUUAUCUCUUUUCUGCUUUGCAUUUUAGGUUCUCAACUCUUUUUUUUUGUUGGAAUAUGCAUGAUUGAACAAGUGAGCCUAAACACUUUGAGAGGUCUAGCUCUAUGUGUUUGGAAGCUUAACACUUUGGGGUUGCUUCUUACGCAACAUCAGAUUGAGUUUUAUCCUUACCUCUACUCAGGAGGUUAAGUAUUCGGCCAGUGGCCUUCCUCUAUGGAUACCAAUCAAUUUUCUUAUGUUGUGUUCAAAUAGGUUUCAAGAGCUAGUGAUAUCAAUGCUAUGUGAAAUUGUACUCAAGGCUCUAUUUCAUUAGAGGAUGUUGAUCCUGCAUUACCAUUUAGUUGAUUGGAUUUUGUGUUUUGUAAAUCUCUUUUGUACUCAAGGUUUUUGCUACUGUAAUGAAUUUUAAAAUAAAAUUUUGUUUCCAUGCUCAA